rnacentral:rRNA from 1 species
CGCCAGACUCCUACGGGAGGCAGCAGUGGGGAAUAUUGCACAAUGGGGGAAACCCUGAUGCAGCGACGCCGCGUGAGUGAAGAAGUAUUUCGGUAUGUAAAGCUCUAUCAGCAGGGAAGAAAAUGACGGUACCUGACUAAGAAGCCCCGGCUAACUACGUGCCAGCAGCCGCGGUAAUACGUAGGGGGCAAGCGUUAUCCGGAUUUACUGGGUGUAAAGGGAGCGUAGACGGCAUGGCAAGUCAGAUGUGAAAGCCCGGGGCUCAACCCCGGGACUGCAUUUGAAACUGUCAGGCUGGAGUGCAGGAGAGGUAAGUGGAAUUCCUAGUGUAGCGGUGAAAUGCGUAGAUAUUAGGAGGAACACCAGUGGCGAAGGCGGCUUACUGGACUGUAACUGACGUUGAGGCUCGAAAGCGUGGGGAGCAAACAGGAUUAGAUACCCCCGUAC